ensembl:lncRNA
GUUAUUUGGAAGACUGCUGAUGAAUACAAAUCCAAUAAUAUAAGAACAAAUUAAACAUACAAGAUUUUGUUAUAUCCCCACUGAUCGACUUUAAGCAGAUGAUUCUAAUGAGAUUCUAUUAAUGGAAUUAUGGAAUUUGUUCCUUGAUGAGGUUUUAUUUUCAGUAGAGAUGUCAAUAAGAUGAUGAAUGUUGCCUACAAUUACAGUGAUGUUUACAUUUGUACUGCUCACUUGAAAUAAUCAUUUUUAUGUUGUUGAAUUAUGUUGUGAUGAUUAUUUAACAGGCUUAACAGCAUAUUUUGUGCAAGCUUUGUGACUUCAUGAGGAAAUGUGAUGAACUAUGUAGAAUGCCAAUAGACUCUGGUAUGGCAGCUUAUUUGCAUACAACUCAGUGUGUUCCAGACAAUUCAGAAGCAACAUUUAUUCACCAAUACCUUAACGCUCCAUAACCCCAUCCAUAGAAUUAUAAUAAUACGACCGCAUCUAGUGAUACUUUCUGUUAUCAUUUCUAAUGUGCAAAAAUGUAUUACAUGUAUUACUAGUAAUAUUCUGCAAUGCGAGAAGGCAACAAUAAUUUGUGCUGUGUGUAUGAGAUGCAUGCAAUGGAAUUGCUACAGUUGCCCUAUCUUAAUUUGAGCCAUUUUCACACAGCAGAAAAAAGAAUCCUGCAGCAACAGAACAUUCAAAUUGAUAUGUGGAUUUGAAAAAAACAGUACUUUUCUUGUUGGAGUUGGGCAAAUCAGCAUUUGUAAGGGCAAAUCAGCAUUUGUAAUCAGAAAAUACAAACUUUAGUAGUUGUUACCUCAAAUUUCCUGCUGUGUAGGAAAAUUCUUGCGACCUUAUGAUCGAAUUAUGAUACGGCAUCUCCAAAAGCAUUAUUCGUUAUUGUACAGCACACAUUUGAAAUGCAGCACUAUGUUCUCAUUUUGUUCCUAUCAACAUCACUCGAAAUCUUUUGGUUACGAUGAUAUAGGAUGACAGAUGUACACCCGCCCUGUCCAUAGACCACAGAUGAUUAUUGUGGUUUUCUUCAUACUGUAUCAACCUUCUUCACUCAGUGCCAACUUUCUAGAAUCUCUCCAGACCAUGUUUACUGCUGACACAUAAUCUGAUAACCAACCGUGUCUGAUGCUGUCCUCAUGUAACAUAAUGGGCUUUGGGUUUAGCUGCUUUCUCUGGCGUGAACAAAUGUAGGAUGUAACAUGAUUCUAUCAAUGUGAUAUUGGAGAUGGUUUCUGUUGAUAUUUGAUAUAUUUAGUAGUUUCAAUGAACUUUGUAAAAUGUGAGAAUAUAUACUUACAGGUUUUUAGAAAUAUAUUUAAUUUUGUUUACUUGUGGAGAAGUAGGAAUGUGGUCUGGUCCACAGAAAAGCGUUUCCUGGACGGGGCGUUGGGGGUCUUUGCGUGGGUUGUAGCCGGCUUCUUGUCCCCAGACUACAACCCAUCAGUUCAGGAAUUGCUGGUCUGUGGUACAAAAAGUAUUAAACAGUUUGCAAAGACGAACCAUGUUUGCACUGUUUCCUUGACCCCAUUGAAUCAUUGUGUAAAUGUACUGCAAAGUAUCUUUUGAAUUAUUAAAAACCUGGAAUUUACACCUACGCCUGUCAUUCUAAAGUCCUUACGUAAUUCAACUCACUGUCGCUUCUCCAAAACAUUUAUUUGAUUGGCUGAGAGAGUGCGACCUGUGGCCAGUGAUCAGGCCCAACAUUGCAGGCUAAUCAAGAAACCCUCAGGAUAAGUCACAAUGACCACAAUUAAUUUAGGACUUUAUUGGCCCGCCGAAUCAUCCGUAAAUAUAUUCAUUAAAUUCCCA